rnacentral:rRNA from 1 species
GAGCGAGAAAGCUCCUUCGGGAGUGAGUAGAGCGGCGGACGGGUGAGUAACGCGUAGGAAUCUACCUAGUAGUGGGGGACAACACGGGGAAACUCGUGCUAAUACCGCAUACGCCCUACGGGGAAAGUGGGGGACCUUCGGGCCUCACGCUAUUAGAUGAGCCUGCGUUAGAUUAGCUAGUUGGUGGGGUAAUGGCCUACCAAGGCGACGAUCUAUAGCUGGUCUGAGAGGAUGAUCAGCCACACUGGGACUGAGACACGGCCCAGACUCCUACGGGAGGCAGCAGUGGGGAAUAUUGCACAAUGGGCGCAAGCCUGAUGCAGCCAUGCCGCGUGUGUGAAGAAGGCUUUCGGGUUGUAAAGCACUUUCAGUAGGGAGGAACUGGUUGACGAUUAAUACUCGUA